UUCCUCUUCCAAGAGGUAGAAGCCAGCCUC
rnacentral:piRNA from 1 species